rnacentral:rRNA from 1 species
GGAUACUGGAAACCGGAGCUAAUACCGGAUAAUAUAUUGAACCGCAUGGUUCAAUAGUGAAAGACGGUUUUGCUGUCACUUAUAGAUGGAUCCGCGCCGCAUUAGCUAGUUGGUAAGGUAACGGCUUACCAAGGCAGCGAUGCGUAGCCGACCUGAGAGGGUGAUCGGCCACACUGGAACUGAGACACGGUCCAGACUCCUACGGGAGGCAGCAGCU